rnacentral:rRNA from 1 species
UACAGAGGGUGCGAACGUUGUUCGGAAUCACUGGGCAUAAAGCGCACGUAGGCGGCACCGCAAGUGUGGAGUGAAAUCCCACGGCUUACCCGUGGAACUGCUUGGCAGACUGCGGUGCUAGAGGUUGGUAGGGGGAGAGCGGAACGUCUGGUGGAGCGGUGAAAUGCGUAGAUAUCAAGAGGAACACCGGUGGCGAAGGCGGCUCUCUGGUCCAAUCCUGACGCUGAGGUGCGAAAGCUAGGGGAGCAAACGGG